rnacentral:rRNA from 1 species
AGCCUAUAUAGGUGAAUCCAUGGAGGGUCAUCAUUGAAUUGACUCUUUUUGGAAAUAGUAUUUUUUUUGCAGCUUAGCUCAAUUCAUGCAUGGUUCCAGAUAAUCUGCUUGGUUGCAAAAAAAUAGUUAGAAAUGCGUAUGAGUAACUCUGCGAAUUGCGCUAGUUACAAUUUUGAUUUGCCAGCUACUUGUUUCAUGGCUUUAAUUUGAGCCGCGGAUCCUACUCUGGAAACAGAAAUACCCACAUUAAUAGCGGGUCGAAUUCCGGCAUUGAAUAGAUCCGCAGAUAAGAAUAUUUGGAGCGGAAAUGCAUUGAGAUCGGAAAGAACACCAACGGCGAAAGCACUCUGCUGGGCCGACACUGACACUGAGAGACGAAAGCUAGGGGAGCAAAUGGGAUUAGAGACCCCAGUAGUCCUAGCCGUAAACGAUGGAUACUAGGUGCUGUGCGACUCGACCCGUGCAGUGCUGUAGCUAACGCGUUAAGUAUCC